rnacentral:rRNA from 1 species
AGAGUUGAUCCUGGCUCAGGACGAACGCUGGCGGCGUGCCUUAUACAUGCAAGUCGAGCGGACCAGAAUNGGAGCCUGCUCCCUUGAUUUAAGCGGCGGACGGGUGAGUAACACGUGGGUAACCUGCCUGUAAGACUGGGAUAAAUUCGGGAAACCGGGGCUAAUACCGGAUGCUUGAAUGAACCGCAUGGUUCAAUUAUAAAAGGUGGCUUUCAGCUACCACUUACAGAUGGACCCGCGGCGCAUUAGCUAGUUGGUGAGGUAACGGCUCACCAAGGCAACGAUGCGUAGCCGACCUGAGAGGGUGAUCGGCCACACUGGGACUGAGACACGGCCCAGACUCCUACGGGAGGCAGCAGUAGGGAAUCUUCCGCAAUCUUCCGCAAUGGACGAAAGUCUGACGGAGCAACGCCGCGUGAGUGAUGAAGGUUUUCGGAUCGUAAAACUCUGUUGUUAGGGAAGAACAAGUACCGUUCGAAUAGGGCGGUACCUUGACGGUACCUAACCAGAAAGCCACGGCUAACUACGUGCCAGCAGCCGCGGUAAUACGUAGGUGGCAAGCGUUGUCCGGAAUUAUUGGGCGUAAAGCGCGCGCAGGCGGUUUCUUAAGUCUGAUGUGAAAGCCCCCGGCUCAACCGGGGAGGGUCAUUGGAAACUGGGGAACUUGAGUGCAGAAGAGGAGAGUGGAAUUCCACGUGUAGCGGUGAAAUGCGUANAGAUGUGGAGGAACACCAGUGGCGAAGGCGACUCUCUGGUCUGUAACUGACGCUGA